rnacentral:rRNA from 1 species
UACGUAGGGGGCAAGCGUUGUCCGGAAUUAUUGGGCGUAAAGCGCGCGCAGGCGGUUCUUUAAGUCUGGUGUUUAAACCUGGGGCUCAACUUCAGGUCGCACUGGAAACUGGGGGACUUGAGUACAGAAGAGGAGAGUGGAAUUCCACGUGUAGCGGUGAAAUGCGUAGAUAUGUGGAGGAACACCAGUGGCGAAGGCGGCUUCCUGGACCGACACUGACGCUGAGGUGCGAAAGCGUGGGGAGCAAACAGG